CCUACGGGAGGCAGCAGUGGGGAAUAUUGGGCAAUGGAGGCAACUCUGACCCAGCAACGCCGCGUGAAUGAUGAAGGUCUUCGGAUUGUAAAGUUCUGUGAUGGGGGAUGAACACAAUGACGGUACCCCAAUAGCAAGCCACGGCUAACUACGUGCCAGCAGCCGCGGUAAUACGUAGGUGGCAAGCGUUAUCCGGAAUGACUUGGCGUAAAGGGGGCGUAGGUGGUUUAGUAAGUUGGCGGUGUAAUUCCGGGGCUCAACCCCGGCGCUACCGCCAAAACUAUUAGACUAGAGUGCAGGAGGGGUACGUGGAAUUCCUAGUGUAGCGGUGGAAUGCGUAGAUAUUAGGAGGAACAUCAGGGGCGAAGGCGACUUACUGGACUGUAACUGACACUGAGGCACGAAAGCGUGGGGAGCAAACAGGAUUAGAUACCCGAGUAGUC
rnacentral:rRNA from 1 species